rnacentral:rRNA from 1 species
AACGAACGCUGGCGGCAUGCCUAACACAUGCAAGUCGAACGCUCGUGGCAACACGGGAGUGGCGAACGGGUGAAUAACGCGUGGGAACCUGCCCCGAAGUUCGGAAUAACCGCGGGAAACUGCGGCUAAUACCGGAUGUGGCCUGAGGGCCAAAGGCGCAAGUCGCUUCGGGAGGGGCCCGCGUCCGAUUAGCUAGUUGGUGAGGUAACGGCUCACCAAGGCGACGAUCGGUAGCUGGUCUGAGAGGAUGAUCAGCCACACUGGAACUGAGACACGGUCCAGACUCCUACGGGAGGCUG